AUGCCUCGGAGGUCAACGCCACGAAGGCCGCCCCUGCUCAUCACCGCUAGACGGUGGACGCCACGGAGAUCGCCAUCAUCACUCGCGACCGCUUUAUCACGAUGGUGCUGCGGAGGACGACGAUAUGGAGCACGCCACGAAGAGCUUGUCGUCGAUGUCGUCAAGCCGGCCCCAUGGAAGCCGACGACACAGAGGUCGCCGAGAUGUCAUCCCCUUCGUCACGGUGGCUCCAUGGAGCUUGACGACGAAGUGGAGCAUGCCACGACGUCAUCCCCUUCGUCAUCCCCUUCGUCAUCCCCUUCGUCAUCCCCUUCGUCACGUCUACUUCAUCAUGAUGAGGCAGCGGAAGACGACGAAGUGGAGCAUGCCACGACGUCGCCCGUUGUCCAUGUUAUCAAGACGCCGCCAUGGAGUGGAGGUCGAUGGCACUGA
rnacentral:rRNA from 1 species